rnacentral:tRNA from 1 species
GGUGCUAUAGCUCAGUGGCAGAGUGCUUGCCUAGCAUGCAUGAGGCACUGGGUUCAAUCCUCAGCACCA